AUGAACGCUGGCGGCGUGCUUAACACAUGCACGUCGAACGAAGCACUUAAGAUUGAUUCUUCGGAUGACGUCUUUUGUGACUUAGUGGCGGACGGGUGAGUAACGCGUGGGUAACCUGCCUCACACAGGGGGAUAACAGUUAGAAAUGACUGCUAAUACCGCAUAACCCGAUAGGAUCGCAUGAUCCAGACGGAAAAGAUUUAUCGGUGUGAGAUGGACCCGCGUCUGAUUAGCUAGUUGGUGAGGUAACGGCCCACCAAGGCGACGAUCAGUAGCCGGCCUGAGAGGGUGAACGGCCACAUUGGGACUGAGACACGGCCCAACCUCCUACGGGAGGCAGCAGUGGGGAAUAUUGCACAAUGGGGGAAACCCUGAUGCAGCGACGCCGCGUGAGUGAAGAAGUAUUUCGGUAUGUAAAGCUCUAUCAGCAGGGAAGAAAAUGACGGUACCUGAAUAAGAAGCCCCGGCUAACUACGUG
rnacentral:rRNA from 1 species